UACAAAAGGUGCGAGCGUUUAUUCAUAUUUAUUGGGCGUAAAGGGUAUGUAGGCGUAACAGAAAAAAUUUUUGCUAGAAAACCUGGAGUCGUAACUUUAGAAGCAAGCUUUUAGAUUACUGUUUAUGAGUUAACACUAGGUCGGAGGAACUUCCAGCGGAAAAGUAGAAUUUCGCUAUUCUGGAAGGAACGCCAAAUGUGGAGAUAUCUCUCCGGUGUUAACAUUCGCUGAGGUACGGAAGCGUAGGGAGCAAACAGGG
rnacentral:rRNA from 1 species